UGCAGUCGAGCGGUAACAGGAUUAGCUUGCUAAUUUGCUGACGAGCGGCGGACGGGUGAGUAAUGCCUAGGGAACUGCCCAGUCGAGGGGGAUAACAGUUGGAAACGACUGCUAAUACCGCAUACGCCCUACGGGGGAAAAGAGGGGACCUUCGGGCCUUCUGCGAUUGGAUGUACCUAGGUGGGAUUAGCUAGUUGGUGAGGUAAUGGCUCACCAAGGCGACGAUCCCUAGCUGUUCUGAGAGGAUGAUCAGCCACACUGGGACUGAGACACGGCCCAGACUCCUACGGGAGGCAGCAGUGGGGAAUAUUGCACAAUGGGCGCAAGCUUGAUGCAGCCAUGCCGCGUGUGUGAAGAAGGCCUUCGGGUUGUAAAGCACUUUCAGCGAGGAGGAAAGCUUAAGCGUUAAUAGCGUUUAGGUGUGACGUUACUCGCAGAAGAAGGACCGGCUAACUUCGUGCCAGCAGCCGCGGUAAUACGAGGGGUCCAAGCGUUAAUCGGAAUUACUGGGCGUAAAGCGUACGCGGGCGGUUUGUUAAGCGAGAUGUG
rnacentral:rRNA from 1 species